UUAAAUGUUAGUUUGUUGCCUUGAAUUUUUGAGUUCACCCAAAUUUUUAUUUUUUUAAACAGUUUACGUUAGACAAUGUAAAUAUGUAAGGUAUUGACCCGCAUGUAGGAUGAUUACUGCGAUUGGUUAGGUUUGGUAAGGUAGUGGAAGGACAUAAAAUGUUAGUCAAGGUUGGUCGGUAAGCUAAGGCAAGGCAAGUAGAUCGGUAAGGCAGGUAAGUAACUAAGGUAAGUUAAGGCAAUAUAGGUAGUAGCUAUUGUAAGGCACGUAGGUUGGUCAGGUAAGGUAGUUCAGCUAAGCUGUGAGAAACAAGGCAAGGUGCGUUAGGUAAAAAGCUACGGUUAUGUAACAUAGCUUUUGGAGCUAAGGUUGGGUUAGGUAAGAGUGCCAAGUUUGUUUUGAGAAAGUAGGAAGGUAAGGUAAGGUGUGGUUGUUUAGCUGAGGUAAGGAGGUAAGUACGGUGCGAUAAGGUUAGUAAACUAGUCUGAACAUUCUCCAUCCCCCAAACAAAGUGGUCGUACAUCUGAUACUUCUGCAGAAUAGUUUUUAGCAUUGAAUAAUGGAGAUGAGGUGAUGAUCAUCACACAUCACUGAAAUAGACGCACAACAUGAACUUGUUGGCUAUUAGCAAGCUGGCACAAUGCAAGCAGAUGACACACUUC